rnacentral:rRNA from 1 species
UUAAGUUAUUAAGGGCGCACGGUGGAUGCCUUGGCACUAGAAGCCGAUGAAGGACGUUACUAACGACGAUAUGCUUUGGGGAGCUGUAAGUAAGCUUUGAUCCAGAGAUUUCCGAAUGGGGAAACCCAGCAUGAGUUAUGUCAUGUUAUCGAUAUGUGAAUACAUAGCAUAUCAGAAGGCACACCCGGAGAACUGAAACAUCUUAGUACCCGGAGGAAGAGAAAGAAAAUUCGAUUCCCUUAGUAGCGGCGAGCGAAACGGGAAGAGCCCAAACCAACAAGCUUGCUUGUUGGGGUUGUAGGACACUCUAUACGGAGUUACAAAGGACGACAUUAGACGAAUCAUCUGGAAAGAUGAAUCAAAGAAGGUAAUAAUCCUGUAGUCGAAAAUGUUGUCUCUCUUGAGUGGAUCCUGAGUACGACGGAGCACGUGAAAUUCCGUCGGAAUCUGGGAGGACCAUCUCCUAAGGCUAAAUACUCUCUAGUGACCGAUAGUGAACCAGUACCGUGAGGGAAAGGUGAAAAGCACCCCGGAAGGGGAGUGAAAUAGAACCUGAAACCGUGUGCUUACAAGUAGUCAGAGCCCGUUAAUGGGUGAUGGCGUGCCUUUUGUAGAAUGAACCGGCGAGUUACGAUUUGAUGCAAGGUUAAGCAGUAAAUGUGGAGCCGUAGCGAAAGCGAGUCUGAAUAGGGCGUUUAGUAUUUGGUCGUAGACCCGAAACCAGGUGAUCUACCCUUGGUCAGGUUGAAGUUCAGGUAACACUGAAUGGAGGACCGAACCGACUUACGUUGAAAAGUGAGCGGAUGAACUGAGGAUAGCGGAGAAAUUCCAAUCGAACCUGGAGAUAGCUGGUUCUCUCCGAAAUAGCUUUAGGGCUAGCCUCAAGUGAUGAUUAUUGGAGGUAGAGCACUGUUUGGACGAGGGGCCCCUCUCGGGUUACCGAAUUCAGACAAACUCCGAAUGCCAAUUAAUUUAACUUGGGAGUCAGAACAUGGGUGAUAAGGUCCGUGUUCGAAAGGGAAACAGCCCAGACCACCAGCUAAGGUCCCAAAAUAUAUGUUAAGUGGAAAAGGAUGUGGCGUUGCCCAGACAACUAGGAUGUUGGCUUAGAAGCAGCCAUCAUUUAAAGAGUGCGUAAUAGCUCACUAGUCGAGUGACACUGCGCCGAAAAUGUACCGGGGCUAAACAUAUUACCGAAGCUGUGGAUUGUCCUUUGGACAAUGGUAGGAGAGCGUUCUAAGGGCGUUGAAGCAUGAUCGUAAGGACAUGUGGAGCGCUUAGAAGUGAGAAUGCCGGUGUGAGUAGCGAAAGACGGGUGAGAAUCCCGUCCACCGAUUGACUAAGGUUUCCAGAGGAAGGCUCGUCCGCUCUGGGUUAGUCGGGUCCUAAGCUGAGGCCGACAGGCGUAGGCGAUGGAUAACAGGUUGAUAUUCCUGUACCACCUAUAAUCGUUUUAAUCGAUGGGGGGACGCAGUAGGAUAGGCGAAGCGUGCGAUUGGAUUGCACGUCUAAGCAGUAAGGCUGAGUAUUAGGCAAAUCCGGUACUCGUUAAGGCUGAGCUGUGAUGGGGAGAAGACAUUGUGUCUUCGAGUCGUUGAUUUCACACUGCCGAGAAAAGCCUCUAGAUAGAAAAUAGGUGCCCGUACCGCAAACCGACACAGGUAGUCAAGAUGAGAAUUCUAAGGUGAGCGAGCGAACUCUCGUUAAGGAACUCGGCAAAAUGACCCCGUAACUUCGGGAGAAGGGGUGCUCUUUAGGGUUAACGCCCAGAAGAGCCGCAGUGAAUAGGCCCAAGCGACUGUUUAUCAAAAACACAGGUCUCUGCUAAACCGUAAGGUGAUGUAUAGGGGCUGACGCCUGCCCGGUGCUGGAAGGUUAAGAGGAGUGGUUAGCUUCUGCGAAGCUACGAAUCGAAGCCCCAGUAAACGGCGGCCGUAACUAUAACGGUCCUAAGGUAGCGAAAUUCCUUGUCGGGUAAGUUCCGACCCGCACGAAAGGCGUAACGAUUUGGGCACUGUCUCAACGAGAGACUCGGUGAAAUCAUAGUACCUGUGAAGAUGCAGGUUACCCGCGACAGGACGGAAAGACCCCGUGGAGCUUUACUGUAGCCUGAUAUUGAAAUUCGGCACAGCUUGUACAGGAUAGGUAGGAGCCUUUGAAACGUGAGCGCUAGCUUACGUGGAGGCGCUGGUGGGAUACUACCCUAGCUGUGUUGGCUUUCUAACCCGCACCACUUAUCGUGGUGGGAGACAGUGUCAGGCGGGCAGUUUGACUGGGGCGGUCGCCUCCUAAAAGGUAACGGAGGCGCUCAAAGGUUCCCUCAGAAUGGUUGGAAAUCAUUCAUAGAGUGUAAAGGCAUAAGGGAGCUUGACUGCGAGACCUACAAGUCGAGCAGGGUCGAAAGACGGACUUAGUGAUCCGGUGGUUCCGCAUGGAAGGGCCAUCGCUCAACGGAUAAAAGCUACCCCGGGGAUAACAGGCUUAUCUCCCCCAAGAGUUCACAUCGACGGGGAGGUUUGGCACCUCGAUGUCGGCUCAUCGCAUCCUGGGGCUGUAGUCGGUCCCAAGGGUUGGGCUGUUCGCCCAUUAAAGCGGUACGCGAGCUGGGUUCAGAACGUCGUGAGACAGUUCGGUCCCUAUCCGUCGUGGGCGUAGGAAAUUUGAGAGGAGCUGUCCUUAGUACGAGAGGACCGGGAUGGACAUACCUCUGGUGUACCAGUUGUCGUGCCAACGGCAUAGCUGGGUAGCUAUGUGUGGACGGGAUAAGUGCUGAAAGCAUCUAAGCAUGAAGCCCCCCUCAAGAUGAGAUUUCCCAACUUCGGUUAUAAGAUCCCUCAAAGAUGAUGAGGUUAAUAGGUUCGAGGUGGAAGCAUGGUGACAUGUGGAGCUGACGAAUACUAAUCGAUCGAAGACUUAAUCAA